ACUAUGCCCAGCCCUCAACAAAGGUGCACUAACUACACACUGCACUCGCCAGGGAAUUACGAGCAACUUGCUUAAAACUCAAAGGACUUGACGGUAUUUCGAACCCACCUAGAGGAGCCUGUCCUGUAAUCGACAACACACGAUCCACCCAACCACCUUUUGCCCUAAGCAGCCUGUAUACCGCCGUCGCAAGCUUAGCCCCUGAGGGACAAGUACCUAGCACAAUAACCCACCUCUGAGCUAGUACGUCAGGUCAAGGUGCAGCCAAUAAGCUGGUAGAGAUGGGCUACAUUUUCUACACUAUAGAAAUUGGUCACGGAGAGGCCUGUGAAACCAGGACUGUCAAAGACGGAUUUAGCAGUAAAUUAGGAGAAGAGUGCCUAAUUGAAGAUGGCCCCGAAAUAUGU
rnacentral:rRNA from 1 species